AACAUGUGGGACAUGAGAAAAGAAGGGGGAAAAAAAGGAGAGAGGGAAACAAACCAUAAGAGACUCUUAACAAUAGAGAACAAACUAGAGUUGAUGGAGAGAGGUGAGUAGGCCAAAUGGGUGAAGGGUAUUAUUAAGAGGGGCACUUGUGAUGAGCACUGGUUUGGGUGCUGUCUGUAAG